UAGCCACAGUUCUUUUAUUGUUGUGUUAUGGCCCACUAACAGUGACGUCAUUGACAUGUUUGCAGUGUCCGAACGUGAACAGCACCUCGUCUUGUAAGGCGCACGUGACCUGUGCAGCAGACGAGCACUGUUACACAGAGAAGCGAUACACCAGCUCACUGAGCGAGUAUUACAGCAUGGGAUGUGUAAAGUCUUUGG
rnacentral:sRNA from 1 species